rnacentral:rRNA from 1 species
UACGUAGGGGGCCAGCGUUGUCCGGAAUCAUUGGGCGUAAAGCGCGCGUAGGCGGCCAGCCAAGUCCGGUGUGAAAGUCCCAGGCUCAACCUGUGAAUGCCGCUGGAAACUGUCUGGCUAGAGUCCGGAAGGGGCGAGUGGAAUUCCUGGUGUAGCGGUGAAAUGCGCAGAUAUCAGGAGGAACACCUAUGGCGAAGGCAGCUCGCUGGGACGGUACUGACGCUGAGACGCGAAAGCGUGGGGAGCAAACAGG